UGAUGACGAGACGCUAAGGCGUUGAAGCAGUGUAUGUCAGACUUCCAAGAAAAGCUCGCAAUGUCACAAAUAUAAAAUGCCUGUACCAUAACCGACACAGGUGGGUAGGUAGAGUAUACUAAGGGGCGCGAGAUAACUCUCUCUAAGGAACUCGGCAAAAUGACUCCGUAACUUCGGGAGAAGGAGUGCCUUAUUUAUAAGGUUGCAAUAACAAGAUCCAAGCAACUGUUUAUCAAAAACACAGGUCUCCGCUAAGUCGUAAGACGAUGUAUGGGGGCUGACGCCUGCCCAGUGCCAGAAGGUUAAAGAAGUUGGUUAGUGUAUGCGAAGCUGAUGACUGAAGCCCUGGUGAACGGCGGCCGUAACAAUAACGGUCCUAAGGUAGCGAAAUUCCUUGUCGGGUAAGUUCCGACCCGCACGAAAGGCGUAAUGAUUUGGAUACUGUCUCGGAGAGAGGCUCGGUGAAAUAGACUUGUCUGUGAAGAUGCGGACUACCUGCACCAGGACAGAAAGACCCUAUGAAGCUUUACUGUAACUUGAAAUUGGAAUUGGACUUUGCUUGCGCAGUAUAGGUGGGAAGCGUUGAAAAUAUUCUUGCGGGAGUAUUGGAGCUAUCAGUGAGAUACCACUCUUGUAAUGUUAGAUUUCUAACUUUGAACCAUAAUCUGGUCAAAGAACAGUUUCAGGUGGGCAGUUUGACUGGGGCGGUCGCCUCCCAAAUGGUAACGGAGGCGUACAAAGGUUUCCUCUGAACGGAUAGAAAUCGUAUCUAGAGUGUAAAGGCAUAAGGAAGCUUGACUGUGAGACCUACAAGUCGAGCAGGGACGAAAGUCGGUCUUAGUGAUCUGACGGUACUGAGUGGAAAGGCCGUCACUCAACGGAUAAAAGUUACUCUAGGAUAACAGGCUGAUCUCCCCCAAGAGUUCACAUCGACGGGGAGGUUUGGCACCUCGAUGUCGGCUCAUCGCAUCCUGGGGCGGUAGUACGUCCCAAGGGUUGGGCUGUUCGCCCAUGAAAGCGGUACGCGAGCUGGGUUCAGAACGUCGUGAGACAGUUCGGUCCAUAUCCGGUGUAGGCGCUAGAAUAUUGAGAGGAGCCUUCUUUAGUACGAGAGGACCGAGAAGGACACACCGCUGGUGUACCAGUUAUCGUGCCAACGGUAAACGCUGGGUAGCUAUGUGUGGAGUGGAUAACCGCUGAAAGCAUCUAAGUGGGAAGCCCACCUCGAGAUGAG
rnacentral:rRNA from 1 species